ensembl:misc_RNA Y_RNA Y RNA
GGCUGGUUCAAUGGUAGUGGGUUAUCAGAACUUAUUAAAAUUAGUGUCACUAAAGUUGGUAUAUAACCCCCACUGGUAAAUUUGAAUGACUUUUA